CCUACGGGUGGCAGCAGUGAGGAAUAUUGGUCAAUGGACGCAAGCCUGAACCAGCCAUGCCGCGUGCAGGAAGACGGCCCUAUGAGUUGUAAACUGCUUUUGUACGGGAGUAAACGGACGUACGCUUACUGAUAUGCAAGUACCAUAUGAAUAAGGAUCGGCUAACUCCGUGCCAGCAGCCGCGGUAAUACGGAGGAUUCAAGCGUUAUCCGGAUUUAUUGGGGUUAAAGGGUGCGUAGGCGGUCGGAUAGGUCAGAGGUGAAAGCCCGCGGCUCAACCUCGGAAUUGGCGCUGAUACUGUUCGGCUAGAGAGCAGUAGCGGUAGGCGGAAUGUAUGGUGUAGCGGUGAAAUGCGUAGAUAUCAUGAAGAACACCGAUUGCGAAGGCAGCCUGC
rnacentral:rRNA from 1 species